rnacentral:rRNA from 1 species
AUACGUAGGUGACAAGCGUUAUCCGGAUUUACUGGGCGUAAAGGGCGUGUAGGCGGUCUUGCAAGUCAGAAGUGAAAUUCCUGAGCUCAACUCGGGCGCUGCUUCUGAAACUGCAGGACUUGAGUGCUGGAGGGGAUAGCGGAAUUCCUAGUGGAGCGGUAAAAUGCGCAGAUGUUAGGAAGAAAACCGGUGGCGAAGGCGACUACCUGACAAGUAGCUGACGCUGCGGCGCGAAAGCGUGAGUUGCAAACAGUAGUAGAUACCCUGGUAGUCCACGCCGUAAACUAUGAACACUAAGUAUCGGAUGAAUUUCCGUCGCUUCAGUUAACACAAUUAGUGCUCCGCCUGGGGACUGCGGUCUCAAGACUGACGCUUAAAUGAAUUGACGGGG